AGCAUAUCUAUGAACACUUCAAAAUAUUAAAAAAUUGAUAGUAUAGAUAAUACAUUGCAAGAUAUACUUUUUUUUAAGACCUGAAAUAUAUUUGUUCUCAUGUCCAUAUAGAUUAAGAUCGAGAUAAUCAAAAUGAGGGUUUUGCAGCAUCGAAACAAUUUCUUCUUGUAAAUUUUUGCGGUGUGCUUUAGUUUGAUUGUUUAGAGCCGCACCCUUAUAUAAACUUUUUCUUUAUUUAAAUUAGCAAAAAUGAGUGAUGAGCUAAAUUGAGGACCACUAAAUUUGAAACAGCUUUCAAUAAAGUAAUAGUUUGCCAAUGAUUUCAAUAAAGUGAUGGACAGCUACAAGUAAAGAGUAAAUUCUCAGCAACUUCGUGAAGGCCACGCCAUGUUUUUAUACAGGGAUAACAAGCCAAUUGUGAGAGGAGAGAGGGUAGUGUGAAGUUUGAUGCUCCUAUUUUUCAGAGAGAGGGGUAGAGAGAGAGAGAGAGAAGGAAAGAAAUGGGUAGGGCGCAAUCUGAUGCUGCUAGUUCUUAGACAGAGAAAAGCUGAGUUUUUCAACGAGUGUGAGAGAUUUCAUUGCGAUCGGCAUUUCGACAAAAAAAAACUUGAGAAUAAGGAACAUCUUGAACAUGGAAGUGAGAUCAUAUACAUGAGAGAGAUUUAUGAGGUUGAAUUCUUCUCACAAUUUGAAAUUUUCUUGACUGAUAUAAUACAAGUUUGAAGGGUAUGAUAUUAAGGUUUUUCUAUGUUUUAGGGGGCUUGAGAGGGGUAGAUGGAGAUAAUGUGAUGGUUUACCCCUUGCCGCAACGAAGUACUAGUACGUCUUAAGGAAAUGGAGACAUAACUAAUGUUUCUUAUAUUGCUCAAUACCACUAAUAUGAAGGUCUGCCAUUGUAAUGUGAAAGAGCUAAUAUGAAGGUGGAUGUUUGCCCCUUAUGAUGGGAGGCUUUGUCCCUCGCAUUAACCUCCAUCACAAAAAACAAUGUAAUUAUCAUAUAUGCUUCUUGUAUUGCUUUACUGUAUAUUGGAUUGUCAAAGUGAAGUUUUAUUGCUUCUUGUAUCAUUUAUUUAUGAGAUUCAUCUAAUGGAAAGCUUUUAUUUUC